UAUAUAAGUUCUUCCAAAGGUUUCUUUUAAUAAGAAAAAUAAAAAUAUGAUGCCUUUCAUUCAUAUAUCGAGAAAGAGAGCGAGACAGAAACAAAUGUUGAAAGAAUCGGAUCGUAUUAGCUUGGUAAACACUACCCUUUUAGUUGAUUACUAUUUUUUUAAAGUUUAUGCAUGUUAACGUUUUAACAUUCUUUUUUUCUUGUUAAAGCUUACCUUUUCUCUUUUGCUGGAAUAAUUAUUUUAUCCAUAUUUUGGUUUAGGUUAUUUUAUACACAAAGAAUAUUUGACCUAUUUUUUAUUUUUAUUUUUAUUUUUAACAUUAAUUUUACUCUUUUUUUUUUGGACAAAAAAUUCACUCUAUUUUAUAAUUUGUUUUUCACUUCAUUAUCUUUCUUCUUCUUUUUUUGAUAAAUCAGUUCAUUAUCUUUAACGUCCGCAAUACGUAAAACUCGAAUUUGGGUUCGUGCUGAUGUUUCGCACCUUCAGAUUAUAUUGAUUAACUUACUAUCACUGGUUCUGGUUUAUUUAGGUUUCACUAACAAUAAAAUAUAAUGACUAAUUUUGCAUGCUCAUAUAUACAGUAAAGAGAUUUUGUUUAGUAGUAAGAGUUAGUAAUUUUGCAUGCUCAUAUAUACAAAAAAAAAAAAACCGCCGGUCACUUAAUUAACAACACUUGUAUAAAUGAGGUAAGAUUGAAAAAUGGGAAGGAUAUUAACAACAAUUACGUAGAGUUAAUUAACUUUACGUCAGUCCAUGAGAUAUUAGUUUUAUAACUAACACAAACUUUUUUAAGUCACUCAAACACUGACGUGAACCUUAUACAUAUAAACCUUUUUAAGUUUCUUUUUCUUUUGCAGGUUACCAAUCACUCUCCAUGGAAUACUCAUUUGAGCAAGAUGUUGGCAUGAAAUUGCCGUGGUGAAGGACGAGCUGACUCUAUAUCGAUGGUGCCUCGACCUCGAUCCUUCACCUAUUUAUUGAAAGCAUAGUUUGAAUCUCAUUUUCAACUAUGUAUAAAUUAAUAUAAACAAUGCAGGUCUAGAAAAUAAGCUCUUUUUUUUUCAUUACCAUUGACUGCCUAAAAUAGUGAUGUAUAACUACUUUUUUACAUGUUACUAGUUAUGACUUUAAAAUAAUAUACAUUAUUCUUUUCAA